CUGCUCGCUUCGGCAGCACAUAUGCUAAAAUUGGAAUGGUACAGAGAAGAUUAGCAAGGCCCGUGUGCAAGUAUAACACACAAACUCAUGAAAUAUUCCAUAUUUUU